AAGGUUAAUUGAUCUACCACAAAUGAUGUACAAUUUAGAGUUUAGUCCUAGCUAUCAUACUAAAAAUGCACAUUAAAUUUUUCACAUCACACCAUAAGACUUUAGUCAAGAGAACUAAGAAAAGUACUCAUAAUUGUAACUUAAAAACCAAAGGAAAAAACAUGCAAUUUUUUUAUAAGAAAGCAAACAAAAACCAAAACAAAGAAAAACUGAAAACAAAACAAAGAAAACAAAACAAAUAAAU
rnacentral:lncRNA from 1 species